AUUGCACGCUGUCGGCAUGCUUAACACAUGCAAGUCGGCCGAGUGGCGGACGGGUGAGUAACGUAUCGGAAAGUACCGAGUAAUUGGUGAUAACUACUCGAAAGAUUAGCUAAUACCGCAUCCUAUUCGAGCGGCCGAUAUCUGAUUAGCUGGUUGGUGGGGUAAAGGCCUACCAAGGCGACGAUCCGUAGCUGGUCUGAGAGGAUGAUCCGCCACACUGUGACGUAGAAAAGGCCCAGACUCCUACGGGAGGCAGCAGUGGGGAAUUUUGCACAAUGGGCGCAAGCCUGAUCCAGCCCUGCCGCGUGUCUGAAGAAGGCCUUCGGGUUGUAAAGGACUUUUGUCAGGGAAGCGGUACCUGAAGAAUAAGCACCGGCUAACUACGUGCCAGCAGCCGCGGUAAUUC
rnacentral:rRNA from 1 species